CGGGCUGGCGGCGGGCGGCGGGGCGGCAGCUGCGCGUGCGCAGAGCCGGGCGGGCCGGGGCCGGCGUCGGCCGCCGCUUCUGGCCGGAGACCAGGCCCUGUCUUCGGAGCGAGACCGCGUCCCCCGUCCUUUUGAGCUGGCCACUUGGGAUGGGGACGGGGAACUGCGAAGUGAUGUCCUUUCGGAAGAAGCGGAGGCCCGUGAACCCUGAACUUUGGCCCCUGACCCGGGGCGCUUUGGUUUAGGGCAGAGAAACUCCCACGUCGGCGCUUCCUCCCCACUCCGCGCAGGCUUGCAGAACCCGGCGGUUCACGUGAGCUAAAGGAGCUCCAAAUCAACAAGGAGCGGGCCUUACUGUAUUUGGCUGCCAAGGAACAACCUCACUUCCCUCCCUCCUCACGCCCCGCUUCGCUUGCUCCUCGGCCCCGCGGAAUUUUACGCUGGGGUUGGCCUGCAACACGCAGGAGACAGCCAGGAACUCUGCGGCGUAGUCCUUUAAUGCCAGUAAACGCACCACGCACAGUCUUCAGUCUUUAACGCGAGCCUAGUGCUGUGGGCCCGGAUAGCUCAGUCGGUAGAGCAUCAGACUUUUAAUCUGAGGGUCCAGGGUUCAAGUCCCUGUUCGGGCGCGUCCCUUUUUUUCUUUUUCCAUACUUUGGAAAAAAAAGACACCAAAAACAUGCGAACUAGUUUUACUAAUAAAAAUCCUGGAGUGUGUAUGUUGCGGUCUCCAACCGCUCCCAAUCCGGGUCCUCCACAGGGGAAAGCACACAUGGGCGUUUGGAAAGUGCCAUUCCAUUCUCUGCGCAGACCUGGGUUGAUUGUGCAAUGGGAAGCGGACGUGCCCUCCGGGAGUCUGGUAGCCCCUCCUUUAUGGAUCCGCUGCUUCUCCCGCUGACUUUCCUUGGGUGUUCUGCUAGGUGCCUGAGGAAUGGGUCCUGCAGCUUCACCACCCCUCCACGCUCCUUAUCUGCCAAGAAGGUUUUGGUGCACUCUGAAACAGGAAGAGGGGAAGAGACCAGGUGCAUCCCUGGCUUAGCUGAGCUGACCCCGGCGUCCUCUCUGACGGCCUGGAAACGUGGCCUGAAGGAGCCAGCGCUCUCUCAGCGCAGGGACCCCCGAGCCCUGAUAGACCACAAAGACCAGAAAGCACAACUGCUUGUUUGACCUAAGUUCCUAAGAGGAAGGUCCCGGGUCUAGGGCAUUCGUGGCGCGUGGAGCCUGAAGUGUCCUGUGGGCUGAGUGAUGAAUGAUGAGGUUUCCCAUCACGAGUCGAUGGGCAUUUGUUGAGUGCACACCGCCUACAGCUAAGCAGGCUCGAGAGGGUGCAGAGCCCCGCUGCUGAGAGUCGGCCGAGCCUCCCAGGGGGUGAUGGCGACCGGUCCCGGAGAGAACCUGACAGAGGGAACCGCGAAUGGGAAGUGACAUUUCUUACUUUGUUAGGGAGUCUGACCACGUCCCAGAAGCUCCCAUCGAAAGAUCUGGAACAGGCUGGAUUUUAUCUUCAGAGCCCUAUGACCUUGGCAUUGGACUUGGCAUAGCUGUGUCCUGGAUGUACUUAAUGAGCCGAUUUUGGAAUUCAUUUUGCUGCUUUAUCA